UACGUAGGGUGCAAGCGUUGUCCGGAAUUACUGGGCGUAAAGAGCUCGUAGGUGGUUUGUCGCGUUGUUCGUGAAAACCUGAGGCUUAACCUUGGGCGUGCGGGCGAUACGGGCAGACUGGAGUACUGCAGGGGAGACUGGAAUUCCUGGUGUAGCGGUGAAAUGCGCAGAUAUCAGGAGGAACACCGGUGGCGAAGGCGGGUCUCUGGGCAACAACUGACGCUGAGGAGCGAAAGCGUGGGGAGCGAACAGG
rnacentral:rRNA from 1 species